rnacentral:rRNA from 1 species
GACGAACGCUGGCGGCGUGCUUAACACAUGCAAGUCGAGCGGAGCGGCGGACGGGUGAGUAACGCGUGAGUAACUACCCCCCUCUCUGGGAUAAACGUUGGAAACGGCUGCCAAUACCUGCUAGUGGGGGGUGACUCGCGUCCUAUCAGGUUAGUUGUUGGGUAGUGGCCUACCAAGGCGAAGAAGGGUAGCCGGCCUGAGAGGGCGACCGGCCACAUUGGGCUGUGAUACGGACCAAACUCGUACGGGAGGCAGCAGUGGGGAAUAUUGCACAAUGGGGGAAACCCUGAUGCAGCAACGCGCGUGCGGGAUGACGGCCUUCGGGUUGUAAACCGCUUUCAGCCAUGACGCGGUAGUGGCAGAAGAAGCACCGGCUAACUACGUGCCAGCAGCCGCGGUAAUUC